rnacentral:misc_RNA from 1 species
AAGACAGUUUAUUGAGAGGCCUGGUAUAAUGGAAUAUAAAGAGAAGCCAGAUUAUGGUCGUUGUGUUGCUAUUGUGGCAUCUGCUUCUUUGCGGGAAAUGAUAAAACCUGGUGCUUUGGCAAUCGUAUCACCCGUAGCAAUAGGGAUUAUUUUCCGCAUUUUGGGUCAUGCCACUGGGCAGCCUCUUCUUGGAGCCAAAGUUGUGGCCUCGAUGCUUAUGUUUGCAACAGUAUCUGGUAUUCUUAUGGCUCUCUUCCUAAAUACUUCUGGAGGAGCAUGGGAUAACGCAAAAAAAUACAUAGAGACUGGUGCUCUAGGUGGCAAAGGCAGUGAAUGUCACAA